rnacentral:rRNA from 1 species
UUGAACGCUGGCGGCAGGCCUAACACAUGCAAGUCGAGCGGAUGAAGGGAGCUUGCUCCUGGAUUCAGCGGCGGACGGGUGAGUAAUGCCUAGGAAUCUGCCUGGUAGUGGGGGAUAACGUCCGGAAACGGGCGCUAAUACCGCAUACGUCCUGAGGGAGAAAGUGGGGGAUCUUCGGACCUCACGCUAUCAGAUGAGCCUAGGUCGGAUUAGCUAGUUGGUGGGGUAAAGGCCUACCAAGGCGACGAUCCGUAACUGGUCUGAGAGGAUGAUCAGUCACACUGGAACUGAGACACGGUCCAGACUCCGACGGGAGGCAGCAGUGGGGAAUAUUGGACGAUGGGCGAAAGCCUGAUCCAGCCAUGCCGCGUGUGUGAAGAAGGUCUUCGGAUUGUAAAGCACUUUAAGUUGGGAGGAAGGGCAGUAAGUUAAUACCUUGCUGUUUUGACGUUACCAACAGAAUAAGCACCGGCUAACUUCGUG